AGCUUGCGGUGCUGUUCCGGGAAGAUCUUUUCUUGAUCUUUCGCCUUUUACUAAAGAUCACCGUGGAGGGGGACAGUACAAUGAGCUUCUAGACAUUUUUUGAUAGGCCUAACCCGUUUGGGUAA